ACUCAAAGGAAUUGACGGGGGCCCGCACAAGCGGUGGAGCAUGUGGUUUAAUUCGACGCAACGCGCAGAACCUUACCGACCCUUGACAUGGUGGCCGUCGCCCUCCGAGAGGGGGGAGUCCCGCAAGGGGGCCAUCACAGGUGCUGCAUGGCUGUCGUCAGCUCGUGUCGUGAGAUGUUGGGUUAAGUCCCGCAACGAGCGCAACCCUUGCCUUCAGUUGCCAUCGGGUAGGGCCGGGCACUCUGAAGGGACUGCCGGUGACAAGCCGGAGGAAGGUGGGGAUGACGUCAAGUCCUCAUGGCCCUUACGGGUCGGGCUACACACGUGCUACAAUGGCGGUGACAGAGGGCAGCGAGGCCGCGAGGUCCAGCUAAUCCCGAAAAGCCGUCUCAGUUCGGAUUGCACUCUGCAACUCGGGUGCAUGAAGGUGGAAUCGCUAGUAAUCGCGGAUCAGCACGCCGCGGUGAAUACGUUCCCGGGCCUUGUACACACCGCCCGU
rnacentral:rRNA from 1 species